UGUUACUUUUACUCGCCUGCUCUGUAACAACACAUGAAGCACGCGAGCCUGAUGGGCUCGGGCUGAGGGGGGAAGGAUUCCCAUUGUUCGUUACAGAGGGUCACUCACCCGACCUGAAGCUUCCGGGUCCCUGUUCGUGGCGCCAGAAUGAAGCAGGGGGUCCCGCGGCGGUGAGGACGAUGGAGCCUUAACGAAGCAUGCCCGACUCCAGAGACCAGGUUCAGUGACACAAAUCUAAGUUUAUUGUGCUGCACUCCCUUCCUACCCCAGUCUCAUCCAGUGCUGGUGAAAAAAAAUUUUCCAAGGAUAUACACCGUGAAGCACUCUGAAGACAAAGUCCUGAAGGAGACCGGGAAGUUUUUAAUCCAGUGACCUGGAGCCCUAUACGUGGCUUGUUGGGUGACCUAUUAGAAGAUAAAGUGCAGAAGCAGAAGGAGAUGGAGAAUCUACUUAAAAAAAAUGUCAAAGAAUCUACUAAAAAAAAUGCCAAAGAUAUUGAUCAAUUCAUUAUAAACUGCUUCCACCAAGCAUAUAAUAAUGGACAGUCCUCAGCUCCUCCAGAAGUGGCCUGGCCACCUGAGUCAGCAGAAACUACAGAUACCCUCAAGCUUUGUCCUCCUGAAGAGUUCCUUAAAGUGUGUAAGAAAAGGCCUGAAGAGAUCUAUCCAAUAAAGGAGAGAAAAGACCGCACUCGCCUGGCUCUCAUCAUAUGCAAUAGAGAGUUUGAUCACCUUCAGCCCAGACAGGGAGCAGAGCAUGACAUCACAGGGAUGAAAGAGUUGCUUGUGGGUCUUGGCUACAGUGUGAUUGUGGAAGAGAACCUCACAGCCAAGGAGAUGGAGAAAGUGCUGGUGGCAUUUGCUGCCCGCCCAGAGCACAGGACCUCAGAUAGUACAUUCCUGGUGUUCAUGUCCCAUGGCCUCCUGGAUAAACUCUGUGGGAAACAGCACAGCAAGGAAAACCCAGACGUGCUACCUUAUGACACCAUCUUUCGGGUAUUCAACAAUCGCAACUGCCCCAGUCUCAGGGACAAACCGAAGGUCAUCAUUGUCCAGGCCUGCAGAGGUGAAAAUCGCGGGGAAUUUUGGGUCAGUGACUCUCCAGUAGCCAUGAUAGACAGCUCUUCACAGUCACCUGAGAACCUGAAGGAAUAUGCCAUUUACAAAGCACACGUGGAGAAGGACUUCAUUGCUUUCUUCUCCUCAACUCCACAUAAUGUGUCCUGGAGAGACACUAGUAAAGGUUCUUUCUUCAUCAUACAACUAAUCAAAUGCUUCCAGAAGUAUUCUUGGUGCUGUCACCUCGAGGAAGUAUUUCGGAAGUCAAAUGGAGCAUCAAGCUGGCUGAUUUGUGUUUCCAGUUAUAGUCCAUUGCGUGUGAGGUCCACGUGGCCAUGGGCCAUGCAGCUAUGGAGACAACAGGGGCAGGAACAAAGCCAGAGGAGCAUGGGAGCCAAGAGAGCCACACAAGAGAGUUCAACAAUCAUUUGAAAAGCCAGAUGUUAGAGCCCAGAUGCCCACCAUUGAACGACUAUCCAUGUCAAGAUAUUUCUACCUCUUUCCUGGCAAUUGAAAAUAGGAAUUACUGGCAGUCCUGCUCUUCUUUACCAACUUCUAGAAGUACCUUUGCCAGUAUGGCACACAUAUUUAACCUUUUGUAUUUAAAUAAAAAAUGAAAAUACA